UACGUAGGGGGCGAGCGUUGUCCGGAUUCAUUGGGCGUAAAGAGCUCGUAGGCGGUUCGGCAAGUCGGGUGUGAAAACUCCAGGCUCAACCUGGAGACGCCACCCGAUACUGCUGUGACUUGAGUCCGGUAGGGGACCACGGAAUUCCUGGUGUAGCGGUGAAAUGCGCAGAUAUCAGGAGGAACACCGGUGGCGAAGGCGGUUCUCUGGGACGGUACUGACGCUGAGACGCGAAAGCGUGGGGAGCGAACAGG
rnacentral:rRNA from 1 species